rnacentral:rRNA from 1 species
UUUUNNAAUGGGUUCUAUUCCCNAACCGUGUAUACNUACCUUUGUUGCUUUGGCAGGCCGCCUUUUAGGCGUCGGCUUCGGCUGACUGCGCCUGCCAGAGGACCCAAACUCGUUUGUUUAGUGAUGUCUGAGUACUAUAUAAUAGUUAAAACUUUCAACAACGGAUCUCUUGGUUCUGGCAUCGAUGAAGAACGCAGCGAAAUGCGAUAAGUAAUGUGAAUUGCANAAUUCAGUGAAUCAUCGAAUCUUUGAACGCACAUUGCGCUCGCCAGUAUUCUGGCGAGCAUGCCUGUUCGAGCGUCAUUUCAACCAUCAAGCUCUGCUUGCGUUGGGGAUCCGCGGCUGUCCGCGGUCCCUCAAAAUCAGUGGCGGGCUCGCUAGUCACACCGAGCGUAGUAACUCUACAUCGCUAUGGUCGUGCGGCGGGUUCUUGCCGUAAAACCCCCCAUUUCUAAGGUUGACCUCGGAUCAGGUAGGAAUACCCGCUGAACUUAAGCAUAUCAAUAAGCGGAGGAAAAGAAACCAACAGGGAUU